rnacentral:rRNA from 1 species
AGCCAGACUCCUACGGUAGGCAGCAGUGGGGAAUAUUGCACAAUGGGGGAAACCCUGAUGCAGCGACGCCGCGUGAGCGAUGAAGUAUUUCGGUAUGUAAAGCUCUAUCAGCAGGGAAGAAGAUGACGGUACCUGACUAAGAAGCCCCGGCUAACUACGUGCCAGCAGCCGCGGUAAUACGUAGGGGGCAAGCGUUAUCCGGAUUUACUGGGUGUAAAGGGAGCGUAGACGGCGAUGCAAGCCAGAUGUGAAAGCCCGGGGCUCAACCCCGGGACUGCAUUUGGAACUGUGUGGCUGGAGUGUCGGAGAGGCAGGCGGAAUUCCUAGUGUAGCGGUGAAAUGCGUAGAUAUUAGGAGGAACACCAGUGGCGAAGGCGGCCUGCUGGACGAUGACUGACGUUGAGGCUCGAAAGCGUGGGGAGCAAACAGGAUUAGAUACCCGCGUAC